GUGAGGAAUUUUCCGCAAUGGGCGAAAGCCUGACGGAGCAAUGCUGCGUGAAGGAUGAAGGCCUAUGGGUUGUAAACUUCUUUUCUCAGAAAAGAAUUAUGACGGUAUCUGAGGAAUAAGCAUCGGCUAACUCUGUGCCAGCAGCCGCGGUAAGACAGAGGAUGCAAGCGUUAUCCGGAAUGAUUGGGCGUAAAGCGUCUGUAGGUUGUUUAAAAAGUAUUCUGUCAAAGAUUAGGGCUUAACCCUAGAUAGGCAGAAUAAACUUUUAAGCUAGAGUUUGGUAGAGGCAGAGGGAAUUCCCGGUGGAGCGGUGAAAUGCGUAGAUAUCGGGAGGAACACCAAAGGCGAAGGCACUCUGCUGGGCCAAUACUAACACUGAGAGACGAAAGCGAGGGGAGCAAAUGGGAUUAGAAACCCGAGUAGUCC
rnacentral:rRNA from 1 species